GGUGACGUGACCGAGUGGCCGAAGGUGCUCGAUUGCUAAUCGAGUGUGGGGUUUGUAGCUCCACCGAGGGUUCAAAUCCCUCCGUCACCG
rnacentral:tRNA from 1 species